CUGCACGACAUCGCAAUGGUGACACAAUAGUCAUUGAAAUGGCAAGAGCAGGUUUCGUUCAUGUCCCUGUUGCCCCACAGGGACUUUUGCACAAGGCCACGUCAAAACAUGCCUGUGGAAUGAUGAAUGAGGAGGAAGUGUGGAGAUUGGCCACAGAGUACGGGUUUAAUGUUGUGACGACGCCUGCCCCCAGGAGACGCCGCAUGGGGCCUUUCACACCCGAUUGGCUAACAGCAGUUCCAGCUCCGCCCUAGCACCGCAUGGUUUUUAUUGCCAUUCAUCACUCUUGUAGCUCAUUUAUAGUCUGAUUAGGACUUGUACACUCCUCUGUGUGUGAAUGGGCUUUGCAUAUCUUAUACAACUUUGUUCAAGUGUGCUCUUAUCUCUAAACCAUGUUUUUUUAGCUGCUGCUCAUCCCUGUGUAAUUUAUUCCUGUUUUUGGAUCAUGAUAAUGGAUUUGCCUGCACUUAUCUGACUGUGUUCUGACUCCUGAUUUGACAAAUGAAUUCUGCCUAUGUAUCUCACCAACAUUUCGAAAC